UACGUAGGGUGCAAGCGUUGUCCGGAAUUAUUGGGCGUAAAGAGCUCGUAGGCGGUUUGUCGCGUCUGCUGUGAAAACCCGAGGCUCAACCUCGGGCCGCAGUGGGUACGGGCAGACUAGAGUGCGGUAGGGGAGAUUGGAAUUCCUGGUGUAGCGGUGGAAUGCGCAGAUAUCAGGAGGAACACCGAUGGCGAAGGCAGAUCUCUGGGCCGUAACUGACGCUGAGGAGCGAAAGCGUGGGGAGCGAACAGG
rnacentral:rRNA from 1 species